rnacentral:tRNA from 1 species
GCCCGGGUGGCGGAAUUGGUAGACGCGCACGGUUCAGGUCCGUGUGUCUUAACAGAUGUGCUGGUUCGACUCCAGUCUCGGGCA